ACACAAGUAUGGGUUUUAAUGCCAGUAAGUAUAUAUUUAAAGCUUGCAUUGGAACUUUAUUUCUGCACUUCACAUGGGAAACAAAAAAAGCCAUAAAGGGAAUAAAGACCUUCAUAAGGUUUGAUGAAGCUUCACAGAAGCCACAAAAGAACAAGCAUUGCACAAAGGUAAAAUCUUCAAGAAGAAUGGCUGACUAGUCUUGCAAGAAGGCAGUUAGCUGGGACACAUCUUGACUGGACUCCUCCACACAAGAACUGACACCCAUACAAAAUACCAAAAGAUGAACGGUAACUGUGAUCACAGACGAUAAAUUUUAGAACAAAAAUGCUGUGGAUAUAUUGAAGCAGAUUUCCCACUAAUGUCACCACAAAUCAUUGGCAUAAAUAAAGAGAAAAUGGAUUGAACGGAAAAAUGAACAAGGCAUGAAUCAGCCAGUCAGAGGUCUCUGGCAUCUGAAUACACUGGUUAAAGAAAAAAAGAAAAAAAGAAAAAAAAAGAAAAUAAAAGA